GGUGUGGAAGUGCAGUAAUGCAUGUAGCUUACCGGUACUAAUCGUUCGAUCGGCUUGAUUGCUCUCAUUUU
rnacentral:rRNA from 1 species